AGUCCAUCGGCGAUCCGUGGUUCUCCGCCACGUGCUCCGGGAUUUGGUGGUUGUUAACGCCAGCCAUUGGUCGUGAAAGGGUGUUUUGAGGAAGUUUUUUAGUUUUUGGUUUGAAUAAACAGGGAAACUAUUGUCCCCACAGUCGGCGCCACUGAUCGUGUUGACCAGAAUGAUGCGACUUCGCCGGCGUUUUGCGGUGGUUGAGAGCGUUUGAGACCCCUGUUGGAGCGGAGGGGGGUUGUGUACCUGCAGGCACUCCGACGCUCAAGUCAGU
rnacentral:lncRNA from 1 species